rnacentral:lncRNA from 1 species
AGUCUCCCCUGUACAUGUACGGCGUAGGAGCACAGAUACGUAACCACAAGCAAUCAGAACAAGGAGGAACUAACAUACAGCUACAAAUAAUUUCCAAAACCAUAAGUCAGAAUCGACUAAACAACUACCAAAGGAAAAAUCCAAAUACAACUAACUCAGAUCACAAUCACAUAAAUUCCUACAUAGUAUCACCAUAAUAAAAUAAGAGUAAUCUGAGACUGGAACUGAGAUCCACGGCACGAACUAUCUAGGCGCUAACUACCUGCGUCCUCACACCGUGUCUCGACCCGCACUGUCAGCAACACCUGUAAAAACAGUAGGGUGAGAAACAUAUAAAUAUAUUUUCCAGUAGGGACAACCAAUAGACGAGGACAAGCCCCACUCACUGGCAAACAAAGGAGUACUGUAAGUAAGGUAACUGCGAAUAAGGAAUAAACAGCCACAGUAGCAAAAUAGAUAGAUAGAUAAACAUCACGAGGUAGAACACGAAGUAAUGCCGCUACUAUAAUCACGAGUGAAGAUACUAAACAUGAGGAAUACAACCAACCACAGUAGCAAAAGAAUCGGUAAAUAACUGUCAUGAUCGAAUAUACUAAAAGGUACCGCUAUUGUAAACGAAGUAACAUGCCAACACCAUAGGGACACCAACUACAGUAGCAAGAUGAUGGAUAACAAAAUGUCAUAAACAACUAAAUGAGGGAUGCCGACAGCUACCAGAUACUAUGCACUACUCAAAUAGAGAUACUAUGCAUCAACUGGACGUGUAGUAGUCCAAGUAUACCCAAGCACUAUGACUGCUGGUCAUAAAGACCCGGUCUAAGCUCGCCCACUAGGUCGCGAAGACAAAAAAUCAAGUACUACUCCGGAGGGACACAAUCACCUGCACCCAAAGUCGCUAACUCUGUCUAAGCGCAGUGUAUAUCAAAUCUGGGGGUGAGAACUCAAGGUAGCGAACCCUAUCUAUGAAGCAUCACCUCCUACUGGGCAGGCAAAUGAAGAACCUAAGGUUUUGGACCCUGUCUAAGACUCUUACAGUGCCGUACAAGCUAUAGUCACAUGUGUAUGCUUAAAGCUCCAAUGAACUAGACUCAAUAGUCAAACCACUGCCCGUAGGCGACAGUCGGAGCCAAUAGGUAAUCUGAAGAGAUGUCAACAAGGACCAUAAGAUCUGUACUUCUCCAAGUCGACUAGCAUGCAACACUACACAAGUAUAUAGGAGAGUGACAACAAUGUAAGUAACCAAGGCGAAACAUGCUAAAACCAAACCAUUACAGGAUAAGUCAUCCAACCCCUAGGGUCAAAUCCUAGGAGGUAAACACCGGCGACGAGGUCAAUCUCAUGGAGUAACUCGCCGACAAUAAGGUCAAGUCUCACCGAAGAGAAAUCAACUGACUAGCAAGGCCAUUACUCAACAAGGAGUGAACAUCGACCCAUCAAGUCCCAUGAUAAACAGGUCGAUAAUCCACUAGAUCACAAUCUACUCUACCUGUCAAACGAUAACGAUAAUAGGAAAUCAAUCACGAAUUAAGAAUCGGCAUUACAAACAACAUGACGGGCACGACAUGUAGAGUAAAAGCAUCUACCAACGAGGAAAUUAGGAUAAGUUGUACUACUCAACCACUAUAUAGAAUGAAUCAAGUAUAGGGAACACCGAGUAACCGUCACCUGUACAGAAUAUACAAUCACCAGAAGCCACAAAGAGCAUUCUACCUGUCUUCUUUAUCCAUCGACAAACUCAACCAACACCCGCUUGAGGAAAUUUCGCAUGUAUAUAUAUAUAUAUAUAUAUAUAUAUAUAUAUAUAUAUAUAUAUAUAUAUAUAUAUAGAGCUAGGCUAGAAUACUAUUGAUAGCAAAAUUCCUUUUUUGCUAUCAAGUUUUUAACCUUUGGAUGAGAAAUUGUAGGGUUAGGAUGAUAUUAGUCUCUUAGUGUUGAGUGGUCCCCACUGGAUUAUAAUAUUAAAUCCAAUGGUUAGAAAUAGUAGCAUGUUGUAGAUACAUCACUAUGUAGUAGCUCAUUUCCAUUAUUGUUGAAGCAUAGUAUCAUGAUUAGUAGAAUAUCAUUUCUAAGGGGGGGGGGGGGGGGGGGGGGGUGGGGGGGGGGGGGGGAAGGGGGGGGCGGGGGGGGUGUUCAUCGCAUUCCGUGAUUACAGAGCAUAAUAGCAUUGUAUAUUCCAUUACUAUGGAGCGGCUCGUACCUAUAGACGAGAGAUUGAGUCGGGCGAGAGCGGGGUAGCUCUUUGCCUAGGACCUUCGAGAUUGAGUCGGGCGAGAGCGGUAGCGUCUUUGCCUAGGACCUUCAAGAUUGAGUCGGGCAAGGAGCGGGGUAGCUCUUUGUCUAGGACCUUGAGAUUUGAGAUCUUAGGCAAGUUGGCCAUAGUAGAUUGGGUAAUAAACAUGAGAUGCAUAGUAGACUUGCAUUAUUACUUCGAGUAGACAUAGUGUAUGUUGUUAGAUGCAUUACUAGUACUUUAUAUUACUCAUGGACAUGAUUCUCGCAUGAUAGUAGUUGUUGCAUGCAUUAUCAUCAUUGAUGGCAUGAUAGAGUAUGUUGCAGUUUAUCUCUUUAUAUAUCUAUCUAUUCUCUCUAUUCUGUGCCAGCUUAGACCUAGUGGGAAAACCUCCUGCGUCUCCCACACCGUGUCUCGACCCGCACUGUCAGCAACACCUGUAAAAACAGUAGGUGAGAAACAUAUAAAUAUAUUUUCCAGUAGGGACAACCAAUAGACGAGG